rnacentral:miRNA from 1 species
GCAGCCCACGCUGUGGGCACAAGCUGUGGGGUGUGCAUGCAAGGCCCUGGGCUCAGAGCUGGCACAGC